AGACAAUGAGGCGGGGUCUUCCGGAUGCCUUGCUGGAAGUUUGUUUUUGCUCUGCAGGAUUAAACAGUUCUCCGUAUCCUGCUUUGAGCGCUACUGUUGGGUGCUGUGAGGGGACCUCAAGUAAGCUCCGUUUUUGAAACAUGGAUGCAGUGACUUAUGAUGAUGUGAGUGUGAACUUCACUGAGGAAGAGUGGGAUUUGCUGGAUCCUUCCCAGAAAAGUCUCUAUGAAGAGGUGAUGCUGGAGACCUACCAGAACAUCACUGCUAUAGGCUACAAUUUGGAAGACCAUCAUAUUGAAGAACAUAGUCAAAGUUCUAGAAGACAUGAAAGGCAUGAAAGAAUUCAUAUUGGAGAGAAACCGUAUGAACGUAACCAGUGUGGUAAAGCCUUUGCAAGUGACAAUCAUCUCCAAAUACAUAAAAGAACAAAUACUGGAGAGAAACCUUAUGAAUGUAAUCAAUGUGGUAAAGCCUUUUCACAACGCAGUAAUCUCCAAUAUCAUAUUAGAAGUCAUACUGGAGAGAAGCCCUAUAAAUGUAAUCAGUGUGGUAAAGCCUAUGGACAUCACAGUAGUCUCCAAUAUCAUAAAAGAACACAUACUGGAGAGAAACCUUAUCACUGUAAUCAAUGUGAUAAAGCAUUUUCAGAACACAGUAGUCUUGAAUAUCAUAAAAUAACACAUACUGGAGUGAAACCUUAUGAGUGUGAUCAAUGUGGUAAAGCCUUUGCAUGGCAGUCUAGUCUCAAUAUACAUAAAAGAACACAUUCUGGAGAGAAACCUUAUAAGUGUAAUGAAUGUGGUAAAGCCUUUGCACAUCACAAUAGUCUCCAAUGUCAUAAAAGAACACAUACUGGAGAGAGACCUUAUCAGUGUGAUCUGUGUGAUAAAGCAUUUACUCAUCAAAAUAAUCUCCAAUAUCAUAAAAGAACACAUACUGGAAAGAAUCCUUAUGAAUGCAAUCAAUGUGGUAAAGCCUUUGCAAGUCACAGUCAUCUCCAACUACAUGAAAGAACACAUUUUAGAAAAACACCUUAGAAUGCAAUCAAUGUUGUAAAGACUUUGGAUGGAUGACUAAUCUCCAAAGACAUAAAAGAACAUAUACUGGACAGAAACCUUAUGAAUGUAAUCAAUGUGGUAAAGCAUUUGCAACUCACAGUCAUCUACAGCGACAUAAAAGAACACAGAGGAGAGAAACCUGGUUAUUGUUUACAUAUGGACAUAAGGAGAUACAAGUAUGUAUCAAAUUGACAAGGGAUGGAUUGUGAUUGCUGCUCUUGGUUUUCAAUAUAAGAUCAAAAGUGGAAAGCAUAGGUCCAGGCAUGGUGGUACAUGCCCUUGAACCCUAGGAGAUGAGCAUCAAGCAGAUCUCUGAGUUCAAGUCCAUCCUGAUACAGAACAAGUUAAAGGUGAAGAAAUUCUUAGGUCUAGCCCUGUGGAUACAGAGCUUUGCAGAUUUCUGAGUUCAAGGUCAAUAUAUAGAGCAAGUUCAAGGACAGCCAAGCUGAGGAAGUAAAGGAGUUGGAGAACAGAAAACUGGUGAUAAUGUAAUAGAAGAGGCCAUGUCCCAGGCCCAGAAAGCAGCAGAACUCAGCAACUUUGUCCAUGUGGCUCUGACUUUAGAGGUAAGAAUAGAAGGGACUACUGGGAAAAUUGAAGUUCGUUAGCUGUGGCUGAGAAAUUAGAAGUGAUGAAGAAGAGACCAGCAUCAUUGAGGUGAAAUCUUCUAGGAACUGUUUUCUGAGAGGACAAAGAAACUGUGUUCAGAGAUAGCCAGGAUUGUACCUUGUGUUGCAGCUGAACUUGGUCUCAUGUAAGAAUCACCCAGGUGGUACUGGUUUUGAAGGCAUAACAGUGUCAUGAGGAGCAGCUGAGGCUUGGACCAAUGAAGAGAGCAUAAGUGAGACUAUCAGUGAAGCCUAGUUGCAGCAGAAGAACCCAACAUAUUGAAGAUGCCAGUCCAAUGGGAUGAGCAGAAAGAACAGCCCAGUAGAGUGGAGUCAACAAGAGCUUAGAGUGAUACAGAGGUCAGAGCUAGAGAAGUGACCUUAUCUCUCUGGAGGACUGCAGAAGAUCAUGUGUGGAUCCAAGACAUUGGAACAAGAAACUGUAACACUGAGGUUACCUUCGAGACCCCAAGAUCUUUGAGAUGUCAGAGCUGUGGGGUACCUGCUCAGGAAAAACCAGCCAAAGAGAAAGAAUUGUGCUGCAGUGAACACAGCAGAAAGGAGUUGGAGAUCUGAAGAAUGCUUUAACAUCAGACAUAGAGAUGCAGUUUGGAGAUUUCCAAGCUGACUUUUGGUUUUGUUUUGGUCCACUAUUUCCUCAUGAUGACAUUUAGGAUUGUUAAAGUCUAUGUUUUGAAGUGGUAGUAUAUGAUCUGCUUUUAGAUUUUCUUUUUUAGGGGAUUACAGUUACAUUGAAUGAAUCUCAGAAGAGACUUUGACCUUUGGACUUUUAACAUUUUUGAGAGUGGAAUAGAUGAUGGGGACUUUUGAGGUUGGACCUCGUGUAUUUUUCAUUAUGCAUGUUUAAGUAUGGUCCUCAUACAUUCCUGUACUCCAACAUGGUUAUGGGGGCCAUUGAAUGGAAUGUGGGAGUUUGAAUAUGCUUGUCACAGGGAGUGACUCUAUUUAGUGGUGUGAGCUUGUUGGAGGAAGUGGAUAUCUCUGGGGGUGGACUCUGAAGCUCCACCAAGUGCAAAACAGACCCUCCUAUUCCCUCCCUGGAAGACAGUUUCUUCCUGGCUGCCUUUGGAUCAAAAUGCAGAACUCUCAGCUCCUCCAGCAUCAUGUCUGCCUGCAUGCUGCUGCUGUGCUUCCUGCUAUGAUGAAAAUGGACUAAACCUCUGAAACUGUAAGCCAGCCCCAAUUAAAGGUUUGCUUUUAUGAGAGUUGCCUUGGUCAUGAUGUCUAUUCCUAGCGAUGGAAACACUAAGACAGAAACCUUGGGAGUUUAUUUAAUAUGGUGAAGCGUUUGCACAAUUCUGUGGGCUUCAUCAUCAUGAAAGAAUAUGUACUGGAGCCAGACAGUGGUGGUGCAUGCCUUUAAUCCCAGCACUUGGGAGGAAGAUGCAGGAGGACCUCUGAGUUCUCGGCCAGCCUGGUCUACAAAGUGAGUUCCAGGACAGCCUGGGCUAUAGAGAGAAACCCUGUCUUGAAAAACCAAAACACAACAAAACAGUAUGUUUUGGAGAGAAACCUUUUGAAUGUACUUACUAUGGUUAAGCUUCUUCCUACGGUUAAGAAGGAAUGACUUUGACAGAUACAGUUCUCAUUCUCUGUCUUUAGAACGUGAGCAUCACAUAGGAGUUCCGACAAGCUCAUUCUUGGACCCUGUCUACAUGUGUUAAAUCAGAAGUUUUGCUCUCAGUGUAUGACCUCUAGAAAAAUAAUUAAAGGUGGCCCCUGAACUCUAUA
rnacentral:lncRNA from 1 species